UUCCAAGUGAGGCUGGCUCGCCAGUAUUUGCAGCCGAUAAGUAGCGGCGGCGGAAAGAGGCGUUAACGCCACGUUCAAAGGUUUACGGAAAUUUUAAAGAAGCUGAUCGCGGUUUCGGGGCCACUACACAAAGCUUGAGGAAGCUCAACUCACCCUCGCCUUGCUGUUGUUGGUGGGACAGGAUGACAACCCGAGAGGAAGCUGAGCGUUGCGGUCCAGACUAGCAACCAUCUGUCGAGAUUCAGCUAGCAGGCGUUGCAGUUUACUAGUUGGUGAACAGUCAUCUCGGUUAUGAUUCUCAGAAGCCUUUCCCGAUUCUUUUGUUGAUGCAACAGAGGUUGCACUUAGCUUUGAACAAAGAGAGUGAUGAUUGUCCGUUGAUGUGCUGACUGUGCUGGCUUUGCAAUGGGA